rnacentral:rRNA from 1 species
UACGUAGGGAGCGAGCGUUGUCCGGAAUUACUGGGUGUAAAGGGUGCGUAGGCGGUCUUUUAAGUCAGGAGUGAAAGGCUACGGCUCAACCGUAGUAAGCUCUUGAAACUGGAGGACUUGAGUGCAGGAGAGGAAAGUGGAAUUCCUAGUGUAGCGGUGAAAUGCGUAGAGAUUAGGAAGAACACCGGUGGCGAAGGCGGCCCCCUGGACAAAGACUGACGCUCAGGUGCGAAAGCGUGGGGAGCAAACAGG